AAACUGGGGAGUUUUCUUCUGUUUCAACUGCAAUGUUCUGGGCUCACCUGUUGCAUCUCUGCAGUGGCUGUAGACCUGUGCCAGUUGAACUAUGCAGUGAUGGCAUCCCACUGGUUACACACUGGUUGAAUAUGGCACGUCAUUUCAAUUAAAUGUUCCCCGUGCGGAUAGCUGUGGAUAAUGUUUAGAAGUGAGACCGAUGUAUACAAACACAGUAUCACCCACAAGCCAAAUGAGGGAAUUAAGUUGUCAGCACACGUCUUAUGUUAUACCACCCCUGCUGACAUUAUCUGCAAUUACGGAGCCACCAAUUACAUCGCACUAAAUCAUUGAGCCGCCCACCAUAACCAGACUAUCCCAAAUGACCAGACCGCCGCUACGAAGGCCCCACGCUGUUGAGCUAGCAAUGAAAUGAUUUUGCUCCUGUCAUAAGAAACCCCAUUGCUGUUAACGUUAGUUUUUUGUUGUUGUUGUGCCAGGCAGAAUCUCACAUUCACCUCAGAUUGUCUCUCAGUAGACUAGUGUGUGUAGGUGGCAGCCUCCCCAGUAGUUCUGUGCUGUGCUGUCUCCCAUGCACCCAGUGGAGUGGGGCCACAGACUUGUCAAGCGGCAGGGCUGUAAUGAGACGUAAUGCCUCUCUCUCUCUCUCUCUCUAUCUCUUUCCUAAAGCGAACACUGACCUCUCAGUUGCGCUGCGGUGAUCAGAGCAGAUCUGAUCCCUGCUGCACUCGGCUGCGCUGAACAAAGAUAGUGCUUCAAAGUGCAUUUUUAGACUGGGACUUCCUCAUUUAAUCAGCACUCGUUGUGAUUGAAAGGGAGAGGAGGAGGAGAGAGGAGUGACCGCAUGGGAUUGGAUUUGUAACAGCCAACUUCCAUGUCAUCGCUUUGAAUUACAGGACUUUUUUUGAAGUACAAUGGAAAAUAUAUAUUUUUUUAUUGAAACCAACGAAGUGGAAUAGAAGGUUUUAAGAUGGAGAGAUUUAGGAUCAAAAGUCAGGCUGAGACAUCACUCCAAACAGCUAAUUGCCCUGAUCUCACUGUACAGUAGUGUUAAUGAAAACAAGAGACAGAUUCAUCAUGGCGUCUCUGAGCGGUCCUUUUCAGGUUCCUUAGAGAGCUUAGUCUGAAGAAACCUGAGGGAACAGUAAUGCAUUGUCUCUUAACAAUAAACAACAACAAACCAAAAAAACGCUAGUUUCUCUAUGGCACAGUAUGGGGCGUCAUAAGUAUCUGCUGGCAAUAACUCAAGAUGACGCUAACAAGUUAGUAUUAUACAUCCCCACUAUAUGUAGUUACUUUAAUACAUUAACUAUUCUGAAACAACAUGCAUAUGAACUAGGUGAGGAAUCCCAAGUUAGCUAUAAUAUGAAUUUCUUCUACCCUUGUGUCGGCUGUGUGCUUUGACAUGGGACUGGUUAAGGCUCCGGUGCCCACUGUCUACGGCUCAAAUUAUGUGCCUGAGCUGACUAACACAACACCUACCCGUCAACUGCUUAUGUGACCAUGGACGCUCCUUAACCACCAUGGGACGAUGGUCCUCCUCCACAUGACGGAACGUCAUCACAGCCUCAAGCCCCAGGCCCAGAGGGGACUGCUUAAUUACAGCCCAUAGAGCACUGCACGUUCCAUCCUCCUUCUCCUUUCCCCUCUGUUCUCUCUUCUUCCAC
ensembl:lncRNA